rnacentral:rRNA from 1 species
UACGGGGGGGAGCAAGCGUUGUUCGGAUUUACUGGGCGUAAAGGGCGCGUAGGCGGCCACCGCAAGUCGACUGUGAAAUCUCCGAGCUUAACUCGGAACGGUCAGCUGAUACUGAUCUGCUAGAGUGCGGAAGGGGCAAUCGGAAUUCUUGGUGUAGCGGUGAAAUGCGUAGAUAUCAAGAGGAACACCGGUGGCGAAGGCGGCAUCCUGGACCGGUAUUGACGCUGAGGCGCGAAAGCCAGGGGAGCAAACGGG